AGAAGAAUAAUAAGAAGAAGAAGAAUGAGAAGAAGAAGAAGAAGAAGAAGAAGAAGAAGAACAAGAAGAACAAGAAGAAGAACAAGAAAAAGAACAACAAGAAUAAUAAGAAUAAUAAUAACUAGCGGGCAUACCCGCGCGUUUACGCGGCUAGACCAUUGUUAUGUACUAUUUAUAUCUUUUAGUUAACUAUUUCUUGGCAUUUUAGUGCUUUUUUUAUAUUGGUGGAAAAUCGACAUAGAAUAUCAUUGUGUUCCCCUAAAAAUUGGUUCA
rnacentral:lncRNA from 1 species